rnacentral:rRNA from 1 species
UGAGUAACACGUAUCCAACCUGCCGUCUACUCUUGGACAGCCUUCUGAAAGGAAGAUUAAUACAAGAUGGCAUCAUGAGUCCGCAUGUUCACAUGAUUAAAGGUAUUCCGGUAGACGAUGGGGAUGCGUUCCAUUAGAUAGUAGGCGGGGUAACGGCCCACCUAGUCUUCGAUGGAUAGGGGUUCUGAGAGGAAGGUCCCCCACAUUGGGGACUGAGACACGGCCCAGACUCCUACGGGAGGCAGCAUG